rnacentral:rRNA from 1 species
CUAUGGGAGGCUCCAGUGAGGAAUUUUGCGCAAUGGGGGAAACCCUGACGCAGCAACGCCGCGUGAGCGAAGAAGGCCCUCGGGUCGUAAAGCUCUGUCAAGUGGGAAAAAAAUUUUUUGAUCAAUAGUCAAAAGACUUGAUGGUACCACUGGAGGAAGCACCGGCUAACUCCGUGCCAGCAGCCGCGGUAAUACGGAGGGUGCGAGCGUUGUUCGGAGUUACUGGGCGUAAAGAGCGUGUAGGCGGUUUAGCAAGUCAGAUGUGAAAGCCCUGGGCUCAACCCGGGAAGUGCAUUUGAAACUGCUUCACUAGAGUAUGGGAGAGGAGAUUGGAAUUCCUGGUGUAGAGGUGAAAUUCGUAGAUAUCAGGAGGAACACCCGUGGCGAAGGCGAUUCUCUGGACCAAUACUGACGCUGAGACGCGAAAGCGUGGGGAGCAAACAGGAUUAGAUACCCCAGUAGUC